GGUAGCAGGAAGUGCUUGCACUUUGCUGACGAGUGGCGGACGGGUGAGUAAUACUUAGGAACAUGCCUUUGUGUGGGGGAUAACCAUUGGAAACGAUGGCUAAUACCGCAUAAUGUCUUUGGACCAAAGAGGGCUUUCGGGCUCUCGCGCAAAGAGUGGCCUAAGUGAGAUUAGCUUGUUGGUGAGGUAAAGGCUCACCAAGGCGACGAUCUCUAGCUGUUCUGAGAGGAAGAUCAGCCACACUGGGACUGAGACACGGCCCAGACUCCUACGGGAGGCAGCAGUGGGGAAUAUUGCACAAUGGGGGCAACCCUGAUGCAGCCAUGCCGCGUGUGUGAAGAAGGCCUUCGGGUUGUAAAGCACUUUCAGUUGUGAGGAAAGGUUGAUGGUUAAUACCCAUCAGCUGUGACGUUAGCAACAGAAGAAGCACCGGCUAACUCCGUGCCAGCAGCCGCGGUAAUACGGAGGGUGCGAGCGUUAAUCGGAAUUACUGGGCGUAAAGCGCACGCAGGCGGUUAUAUAAGCUAGAUGUGAAAGCCCCGGGCUCAACCUGGGAAUAGCAUUUAGAACUGUAUGACUAGAGUCUUGGAGAGGGGAGUGGAAUUCCAGGUGUAGCG
rnacentral:rRNA from 1 species